rnacentral:misc_RNA from 1 species
AAUUUGGAGACUUGUACAACCUCUGUAACAGAUACACUAUCAUUAUAAACAUCUACCAAGAAAAAGACAGCCAUACACUAUCAUUACAAACAUCCACCAAGAAAAAGACAGCCAAAAACAAGAAAUUGUUUUGGUAGCACAACCAAGGAAUGAUAAAAGCAACACUGAGUCCAGAAAAUUAUAUGUUCAACAACUUUAAAUAGAAGCCAAACACGAGUUGAUUAUAUUGUAACCCAAACUGUCAUUUUCACUAUGGAAAAUUGGUCACAGACCCAAGAGCACCAAAAAAAGACCUUAACACAAACACCCUAAAAUCCAAGUGCAUGCAUACCACAACUCAACUCAACUAAGUCUUU